rnacentral:rRNA from 1 species
CCUACGGGAGGCAGCAGUGGGGAAUAUUGGACAAUGGGCGCAAGCCUGAUCCAGCAAUACCGCGUGAGUGAUGAAGGUCUUCGGAUCGUAAAGCUCUUUUAGUGGAGAAGAUAAUGACGGUAUCCACAGAAAAAGCACCGGCAAACUUCGUGCCAGCAGCCGCGGUAAUACGAAGGGUGCUAGCGUUGUUCGGAAUUAUUGGGCGUAAAGCGUACGUAGGCGGUUUAGUAAGUCGAUUGUGAAAUACCCGAGCUCAACUUGGGAAUUGCAAUCGAAACUGCUUGGCUAGAGUUUAGUGGGGGAUAGUGGAAUUCCUAGUGUAGGGGUGAAAUCCGUAGAUAUUAGGAGGAACAUCAGUGGCGAAGGCGACUAUCUACGCUAAUACUGACGCUAAGGUACGAAAGCGUGGGGAGCAAACAGGAUUAGAUACCCUGGUAGUCCACGCAGUAAACGAUGAGUGCUAGUUGUCGGGGUCUUAGACUUCGGUGGCGAAGCUAACGCGUUAAGCACUCCGCCUGGGGACUACGGUCGCAAGCUAAAACUUAAAGGAAUUGACGG